UGCACAAUAGUUAAGAGCAUAAACACUGGAACCAGAUGUCUGGGUUCGAAUCCCAGCUUUGCUA
rfam:Gorilla gorilla gorilla genomic chromosome, chr9, whole genome shotgun sequence